CGCCUCCCGGCACCUGCGGUCACUGAGCCACAGCUAUGGGCUAGGCUGGAAGACCGUUUUUCAGAUGGAAGAGCAACGCCUGGAAUACGUGCUCUCGGAGAACGGGAGGCGAGGACCCAACCCUCAGCACUUGCUCUCCACGGCUCCCUCCCCCCAGACGUCGAACGGGUGGGCACUGGCUCCAGCAGCGCCCUGGGUCUGGGGGCUCACGGUGCCCGCGCCGUAAGCACCACAACAGCGUGAGGGCCCCGACUCCUGCCUUGCCUGCCACCGGCAUCAGCUGGAAGAAAUUCUGAGUUGUGCAAGUGCAGCCCACGGCUGGCAGAGCUGGGGGCACUGGGACACCUGGCAAGAAGAAACAAGGAGGGUGCAUGAGAAGAGUUUCCUCAGGAGUGAAGGAACGAUGCUGAGAUACGGAGGUUGGACUAAUUCAGGAGGACCAGGAUGAAGGGAAAGGGCGUGUGGCUGUUUGGGACCACAGGAGAAAGAGGCUUGUGUGCCACGCUCCAGCUUUCCUCCCAGCACUCGGGGUGGCUGAGUCACACUGUUAACGCCGGUGAAGAGGAGGAAAAGCGAAGGCAGUGAGACUUGCCCGCUGUGGCACAAAGGCAGCUGGCAGUGGGACCGCUGUUGCGGUGGGGUCAGCCUGGCCCCAGGGGCCUGCAGCAGCUUCGGCGAGGCACCCCGCACGGGCUGCUUCACUCAGAAACAUCUUGAGAGGACAAAGAAAACUUCUCCUGUCAGUGCAGCAAGCCUGACGGAAAAACAGCCGGGGGUCCACGGGGGGAUUUUCAGCGCCUCUGACAGACUCGAGCGCACGUCUCCGCUGUUCUGCGCGCUCCUGGCACAGGGGUCAUUUACCUUAACCCUGCCUCGAGAACAGGGGAUGUGGUUCAGUGGUGCUAAACCUGGACGUGGAGGGGGACGGCCUCACGCCUCCAGGCUGGUAUUGCACUUCCCUCAGCUCAUCGCCCAGCAUGUUUCUGGAAAACUGCUCCCUCAGGGCGAGCAGUGGGGUGCAGCUAGUGCAACCACCUCACCUCACAGCUGGAAACAAAACCUGGCAAAGUCCUGAAUCCUCCCGAGCUUUGGGAUCCUUUUUUACGAUCAGCUUCUUAGGGAGCCCCUCAGACACAGUAUCAGAGCCCCGCACAGCCCCAGGCAAAGCCCCGUUUGAAGAAGAACCAGACCAAGGAGCUUUUCAAGAGUGUCAAUUCCAAAAGACAUGUAACAAGUAAAAGUGGUCACGGGUCCUUUCUGCUCAUUGUAGCGUGGCUCGCUCGCAUUUAUUUGGGAAAAAAGCGUGAGCAUGAGAUGGGGGAAGGAGCUGAAGGCAAGAUCUGCCGCAAGUCUCUGCACAGGUCGCAGUAGAGAGGGAAACUGGGGCGCCGGGGAAGGACGGGGCCCAGCGGCUGCCGGGAGCGGGGCUCAGCCCCGUGGCACACCACAAGGGAAGCUGUGCGGGCUCCCACGCCAAGACUUCGCUCGCUUCCUCACCUUGCUGGUUUCCCUUAUCACAUUGAUCAAAAUCCCAUCUUCUCACCCGUUUUAGCACCUGAAGGCUGAAGACUUAAAUAAUUUGAAUGGAUGUCUUGGUAAAGCUUUUCUGAAGGAGUAGGCUAGAGCUCAAACCCCUACCUCACAAUACCGCUCCCCUUCAAUAUUCGACAAGGGUCAGAGUCAACCACUCGCUCCACACAAGAGCCCUGUGUGGGGAGCAAGGCAUGGCUCGGUGCGUAUGGCAAGGUGGCAGAAUCAGACCAUGAAUACAUUACUAUAGGUCAUCACCUGUUUCCACAGCUUUCAGGAAAGGAACAAAACGUUUCCUGGGCUGUGUGGCUGAAUUAACAGAGUCUUCACCGCAGCCUGCUGUACCACAGCUAAGCGGAGGUGCCAGCGAGGUUUUCCGGAGAUGCGCCCGAGCCAGCCAUGCCCAGACCAGCGCGGUGGGACCAGGCGCCCAAGCACCCAGCCAGCCUCCCGGCAGCUGCUGCUAUAACCUGGCAUUCACAAAGUAUCACCUCUGCCUCUCGCUGCCUGAGAAUGAGACCCACAGGGGAUAAUCUUAUAGCCCAAUCACACAGAGCAUCGUGUAUUGAAUACCAAUGGU